UGCAGUCGAACGGAUUCAGGGGCUUCGGUUCCUGGAUUAGUGGCGCNCGGGUGCGUAACGCGUAUGCAACCUACCUUCCNCUGGGGGAUAGCCCCGGGAAACCGGGAUUAAUACCGCAUAAGACAGCGGCACGGCAUCGUGCAGCUGUUAAAGUUUCGGCGGUGGAAGAUGGGCAUGCGUGCCAUUAGCUAGUCGGNGGGGUAACGGCCCACCGAGGCGACGAUGGCUAGGGGCUCUGAGAGGACGGUCCCCCACACUGGUACUGAGACACGGACCANACUCCUACGGGAGGCAGCAGUAGGGAAUAUUGGGCAAUGGCCGCGAGGCUGACCCAGCCAUGCCGCGUGCAGGAAGAAGGCCUUCUGGGUUGUAAACUGCUUUUAUCGGGGAANAAAACGCCCCUGCGGGGGUAACUGACGGNACCCGAUGAAUAAGCACCGGCUAACUCCGUGCCAGCAGCCGCGGUAAUACGGAGGGUGCGAGCGUUGUCCGGAUUUA
rnacentral:rRNA from 1 species